rnacentral:rRNA from 1 species
GGAGGCUGAAACCCGCCUCCAUGAAGUUGGAUUCGCUAGUAAUCGCGCAUCAGCCAUGGCGCGGUGAAUACGUUCCCGGGCCUUGUACACACCGCCCGUCAAGCCAUGGGAGCCGGGGGUGCCUGAAGUUCGGGACCGCGAGGACCGGCCUAGGGCGAAACUGGUAACUGGGGCUAAGUCGUAACAAGGUACC